UACGUAGGGCGCAAGCGUUGUCCGGAAUUACUGGGCGUAAAGCGCACGCAGGUGGCUGAGUCAGUCGAUUGUGAAAGCCCUGGGCUUAACCUGGGAAUUGCAGUCGAUACUACUCAGCUAGAGUAUGGGAGAGGGUAGUGGAAUUCCCGGUGUAGCGGUGAAAUGCGUAGAUAUCGGGAGGAACAUCAGUGGCGAAGGCGGCUACCUGGCCCAAUACUGACACUCAGGUGCGACAGCGUGGGGAGCAAACAGG
rnacentral:rRNA from 1 species